rnacentral:rRNA from 1 species
GACGAACGCUGGCGGCGUGCUUAACACAUGCAAGUCGAACGGAAAGGCCCUGCUUUUGUGGGGUGCUCGAGUGGCGAACGGGUGAGUAACACGUGAGUAACCUGCCCUUGACUUUGGGAUAACUUCAGGAAACUGGGGCUAAUACCGGAUAGGAGCUCCUGCUGCAUGGUGGGGGUUGGAAAGUUUCGGCGGUUGGGGAUGGACUCGCGGCUUAUCAGCUUGUUGGUGGGGUAGUGGCUUACCAAGGCUUUGACGGGUAGCCGGCCUGAGAGGGUGACCGGCCACAUUGGGACUGAGAUACGGCCCCGACUCCUACGGGAGGCAGCAGUGGGGAAUAUUGUACAAUGGGCGGAAGCCUGAUGCAGCAACGCCGCGUGCGGGAUGACGGCCUUCGGGUUGUAAACCGCUUUCGCCUGUGACGAAGCGUGAGUGACGGUAAUGGGUAAAGAAGCACCGGCUAACUACGUG